rnacentral:lncRNA from 1 species
AAAAAUCUCAAAACCAGAUACAUCACCAUAACCAAAUUUACAACAAUGCUUCUAAGAAGUUCUUCAACGCCGGUGAUGAAUCCAUGGAUUCCACAUACGAAUUCAAAGGAUUCAUCUCCUGAACCUGAAUUCCUCCAUCGAAUUCCGAAAUCCAGAUCUGUUACUCUCUCUGCUUCAUCGUCGACGUCGAGUUCACGGUCACCGAUUUGCGGUUCAGUGAGCAAAAUGACUCGAGCACUGUCAGAAACCGAUCUCUCAUCGCAGUUGAAUCGGAAGCCUCUCCACCGUCGUCAAUUCGAUGAAGAUGAAGAAGAGAGCAGAACCGGAACUUUCGGUGCUCGUUCAAGAACGGCGUCGUUUAGUUCCGCGCUUUGUUCUUUAACCGAGUUCGAAGAAAGCCAGAGUGAAGUCGAUGCCAGAGACGGUGGUUCGAUGCUUGUUUUGGUUGAAGAAGGAGGUGGUGGUGGAUUUG